rnacentral:rRNA from 1 species
UACGUAGGGUGCAAGCGUUGUCCGGAAUUAUUGGGCGUAAAGAGCUCGUAGGCGGUCUGUCGCGUCGGCUGUGAAAACCCGGAGCUUAACUCCGGGCCUGCAGUCGAUACGGGCAAACUGGAGUGUUGCAGGGGAGACUGGAAUUCCUGGUGUAGCGGUGAAAUGCGCAGAUAUCGGGAGGAACACCGGUGGCGAAGGCGGGUCUCUGGGCAACAACUGACGCUGAGGAGCGAAAGCGUGGGGAGCGAACAGG